GUCAGCCUCCCAAGGACCAAGAGUGGUCGGAUUCUGCCAGCAAACGUGAAUGCCUGGAUGUUGGGGCCUGUGCCACACAGUAUUGCACGAGUCAAAGGACCAUCCGAAAAUGGAGGUAAAGUAGGACCCACACUGCAGAGCCGUAGAAAGUUUUUGGCGAGAUGAUAUAUGAUUAGUAUGGUGCCAGGCACAGCUAGCGAGACCUGGACGGGACCUCCCACUCACCCCCAUCUGAGCCUCUAGGGAAACAUCUGGACCAUGGGGGCUGAUCGAUGAUGAAGUAUUUACUUAGCUCUACGCCCACAGUCCGGCUGGAGAGGCACCCCCUUGGGUUCAAGGCGAAAGGCUCCCAGGAAAGGUGGCUGGGCCUCAAGGUCAUCAGUCAUCAGGAAUUGCCCACCUUGUCUCUGGGGACAGUCUGGAGCUGUCUCAUGGGAAGUUCUCCUUCCUCAUUCCCGGGGAGAGUGCCCACUUCCUUUUACUCCUUUAAGCAGCAGCCCACGUCAUUACUGUUAUCACUGUUAUUAUUUUUGCCACCACCGAUUGAGUGCUCACCGUGUUCGGGGCCCUAAGCUAACUGUGUUACAUGCAUUUCCUCAUUGAGUCCUUGCUAUAACUCUCAGGGUUAGAGAGUAUUUUCAUCCUUUUUUCCUAACAGCCUGCUCGGAUUGGGAAUUCACUGUCCUGAGGUCACGAAGCUGGAAAGUAGAAGACCUGGGAUUUGAACCCAAGCAGUGUGGCUCCAGAGUCUCUGCCUUGACAGGGGUUCUGUUGGCCGGGGCUGGAGGCCACGCCAGAGCCACCUCCCACCCUCUGCUCUUCCUUGCUGGAACCAACACGGCAUUCGGCGGUCAGAUAAUAGGACCUGGUGAUGUGAGGAGGCAGACAGGACCACAGGGAUCAUAAAUGAGGGGGGGCUGCCAAUCUCCAAAGAUCUCACCAAAGAAACCGGAUGGGAAACAUUCCAACCAGAGGGAAAAGCAUGUGCAAAAGUCCUGAGGAAAGGGGCACAGAGCAGGUUCUAGUCUGACGAGGCCACAGUUGGAAGACUGGAUUCCACUCUGGACGCCCUUGCUUAUUAGGAGAAAGACAUACAUGUCACUUCGUGGGGAACGAAGGCAUCAUCCCUGGAGAAAGCCUCACACGUGUGGCCAAGGAGACCUAUCCAAGUAUGUCCACUAUAGAACUUUUAUCGGCAUCGACUUAGAUGCCCACCAACAGGGGACUGGACACAGGUAAUUCUGUGCACGCGCAUGUUUUAAGAGCAUAAUCGGGACACCCACAAAUUGGGUGGCUCAGUCAGUUAAGCAUCCUACUUCGGCUCAGGUCAAGAUCUU